rnacentral:lncRNA from 1 species
CAUUGCCAUGUUCAUCCAAAGUGAAAGAUACACGAACCAUUGGGAAUCUUCUAAGAGCUUGUGUGAUUAUGUUGAUUGCUUGAGCUUACACUUAUUUUGGUUACAUAUUCCAAAGGAUGGGAGCUAGUUGGAUCAUAAAUAUGAUCUCAAGAGAGGAACUUCAUUUGUGGUCUUGUUUCUUAUCCCUUAUCUCUUGUAUGAUUAGGACUUUAGCCAUUC